rnacentral:lncRNA from 1 species
UGAUCUUUAGCAUUUUAUUCCCAAAUUUGGUAUUAAUUGCAGGUUUUUAGGAAAGAAUGGAAUUUGGACUAAAGAAAAAUGAUAUAUGUUAAAAGGAGAAAGCUAGAAGGCUCAGAGCGCACAAACUAUAGAAAAAAAAGGUCAAACUCAGCAACGAGAAUGCGUUAGAUUAAUUGGGCUAAUUUUAUAAUUUUAUAAACAAGCCCAAAGUGCAACGCAAGAAGUCACCUAACCCUAGCAAAUUAAGUUAAAUAGGGGGCUAUAGGCACAAUCCUAGUGUGUCAGAUUGAGAGGAAACCACCAUUGAGUGAAUUGUAACCAAUUGGGAGAAUGGAAGGUGUUAGAAUGCGUGGCUAAUUCUACCCUUUGGGAUUGAAAGUAAUUUAUUCAAACCCUUAUGUAUUGAUGUGAUAUUUAAUUAUGAUAUAAUAUUAUGUUCUUGAUUGAAUAUUGAUAUUGUUGUUUUGCUUUUAAAUAUUUGUGACAUGUUUGAGGAUCUUAAAUUUGACUGGGAAAUAUUUUUAAGGUUCUGACUUAAACAACAAUACUUAACAUAUUUGAGUACUAG